ACACAUGCAAGUCGAGCGGCAGCGCGGGGCAACCCUGGCGGCGAGCGGCGAACGGGUGAGUAAUGCAUCGGAACGUGUCCCGUAGUGGGGGAUAACGCCGCGAAAGCGGCGCUAAUACCGCAUAUGCUCUACGGAGGAAAGUGGGGGACUCGCAAGGCCUCACGCUAUGGGAGCGGCCGAUGUCCGAUUAGCUUGUUGGUGGGGUAAUGGCUUACCAAGGCGACGAUCGGUAGCUGGUCUGAGAGGAUGAUCAGCCACACUGGGACUGAGACACGGCCCAGACUCCUACGGGAGGCAGCAGUGGGGAAUUUUGGACAAUGGGGGAAACCCUGAUCCAGCCAUGCCGCGUGAGUGAAGAAGGCCUUCGGGUUGUAAAGCUCUUUUGGCCGGAAAGAAAGGGUUCGGGUGAAUAUCCUGAAUCUCUGACGGUACCGGCAGAAUAAGCACC
rnacentral:rRNA from 1 species